UACAGAGGGUGCGAGCGUUAAUCGGAAUUACUGGGCGUAAAGCGCGCGUAGGCGGCUUUGCAAGUCGGGUGUGAAAUCCCCAGGCUUAACCUGGGAACUGCAUUCGAGACUGCAUUGCUAGAGUAUGGGAGAGGUUACUGGAAUUCCCGGUGUAGCGGUGAAAUGCGCAGAGAUCGGGAGGAACACCAAUGGCGAAGGCAGGUCUCUGGGCCAUUACUGACACUGAGAAGCGAAAGCAUGGGGAGCGAACAGG
rnacentral:rRNA from 1 species